CCUACGGGAGGCUGCAGUGAGGAAUAUUGGGCAAUGGAGGCAACUCUGACCCAGCCAUGCCGCGUGAGUGAAGAAGGUUUUCGGAUUGUAAAGCUCUUUCGGAUGUGACGAUGAUGACGGUAGCAUCUAAAGAAGCCCCGGCUAACUUCGUGCCAGCAGCCGCGGUAAUACGAAGGGGGCAAGCGUUGUUCGGAAUUACUGGGCGUAAAGGGAGUGUAGGCGGUUUAGUAAGAUAGUGGUGAAAUCCCAGGGCUUAACUUUGGAAUUGCCAUUAUAACUAUUAGACUAGAAUUACAGAGAGGAUAGUGGAAUUCCAGGUGUAGGAGUGAAAUCCGUAGAUAUCUGGAGGAACAUCAGUGGCGAAGGCGACUAUCUGGCACAUAACUGACGCUGAGGAGCGAAAGCGUGGGUAGCAAACAGGAUUAGAUACCCUUGUAGUC
rnacentral:rRNA from 1 species